rnacentral:tRNA from 5 species
CGGGAUAGCUCAGUUGGUAGAGCAGAGGACUGAAAAUCCUCGUGUC